rnacentral:rRNA from 1 species
UGCCAGCCGCCGCGGUAACACGAGUGGUGCGAGCGUUGUUCGGAAUUACUGGGCAUAAAGGGUGCGUAGGCGGUGCUGUAAGUCAGUUGUGAAAUCCCACGGCUCAACCGUGGCAUUGCAAUUGAUACUGCAGGACUCGAGGUCGAAAGGGGCAAGUGGAAUUCCAGGUGUAGCGGUGGAAUGCGUAGAUAUCAGGAAGAACACCAGUGGCGAAGGCGGCUUUCUGGACCGAUACUGACGCUGAGACGCGAAAGCGUGGGGAGCAAACAGGAUUAGAUA